rnacentral:lncRNA from 1 species
UUUGAAAUCAGUCUCAUGUGAACGGAGACCAAGAUCAGAGAGCCCACAGAAGACCUGGUUACUAUCCUUCAGUGUUUCUGCAGCAAAGGUUGCAGUCUUCUGCAAACCAUGUGAGCAGGCCUUUGAAGGAGAGCCCUCACUGUGCAGAAGAUGAAAAAAAAUCAGCCAUCCUUUGCCAAGUUAUCUGCAUUAUCAGUGAUAAGCCAGGAAUGAAGAUUUCACAGCUUUAUUUCAUCACAAUUCUAAAAAUAAGUCACAGUGAAAUGUAAGCUACUGAAAAACGCAUUAUGAGGCCACCCUCUCACGGCCAUGUGCUUUUAACCUGGAGACAAGGGAGGGAAACUGAAGGCAAAGAUGUCCAGGAUCUUGGGGCCGGAAAGGACCCAAAAGAUGAUUGGCCCCCAUUUCCUCAUUUAUUGAGACCUGGCCAUAAAGAUGCAUGUGACUUUCUGGUGUUAGAACUCAAAUUCCAAAAUUCUAGUUCUGAGUUCCAUCCACUUUGCCAGGUUCUCUCUUUCUUUGUGGGAAGCUUUGUAACAGAGGGACUCCCUGUGGAUCCACAGGACUGGACAACUGACUCUGCGUCUGCUCAGGGAAAGCCCUCCACGCCUCCCAGGUUUCAUCAGGCACUGCGCUGGGUCCUGGGAAUAGAGCAAGCUGCAAUGCCCGCCCUGAUUCCUGUUGGUGGAGCUCACACCUCAUUAGGGAAGACCAGUGUCCGGCAAAGAAUCGUCCACCAGGGCAGAGACCAAGCUUCUGUCGCCUGGAAAGGGUGGUGUUUGUGUUUUUUUUUUUUUUAGCCAAAGAACUGUGGGAAAAAGCAGGAUCAUUUCAAUAAAAUGGGAUUGCCAUAGCAGAACUGGCCAUGGAUAUAAAGCCUUGGAUUUUUUCUUUUUUAAGUCAGUGAAAGGAAAACCGUGUUUCCCACAUAUGGGCCUUUCGUGAUGGUUAGCGCCUGCAGAGUGGGCUUUAGUGUCUCUUAUUUCCUUUCCUUUCCUCUUUGCUUAAUUACGCAGUAAAUUUUGUCUUAGGGGCCACUGUGGGAAUGCAACUCAUCGGGGCUAGAGUGAGAUUAGUGUCCUGGCUAGUGGGAUAUCAGGAUUAUUCCUAUUGGUGUUUGGAGAACACAGUGAGAAGCAGAAGAAAUCCAGCUCAGGGGGGUUUAGUCUCUGCAACAGAGAGACACUGGGGUCAGCUUGCUGUUUGCUCGGAGCUUCUUUUCCCUCCUACUGUGGGCCUUCACAGAAAGUUCUCUGUGGGAUCCCUGAGACUCCAGUGUCCCAUUAACAACAGGAGUCUGGAGAGUUUCCAUAUCAGACAGGGUUCCCUGGCAAAGAGCAAAGUCUGCUCUGGUGAGUUUAAGCAGAGGGUUUAUCACCUAGGUUACAUGACUCCCAGCAUCCUCAGUGGGACAGAAGAAAUUGAAGAAGUUCUAGGCUGAGCUGACAUUGAAGAAACUCCAGGAACUUCUCCCAAAGUCACAGUGCAGAAAUGGCCACUGAGGCUCUGUAGGGCUGUCAUCAUCAGAAAGCCACCUGCCAUCUCAGCGAGGAGUCCGCGAGUUCAGCUCUGUCCACCACAGCACGAGGCAUGCGUUGCACCCUGCUCUCCCCCUACGUCAGUCUGGUCCUUCCUUGUGAUAAGAUCUGCGCUGAGAGAGACGAAACUAUUUUUAAUUUUACUCCCUAUGGAAGGAGCACUUUUCAGACAGCAUUUCCAGCUUUAUCCCUGACCAGG